CACGGGGGGAGCAAGCGUUGUUCGGAAUUACUGGGCGUAAAGCGUGCGCAGGCGGUUUUGUAAGCCAGAUGUGAAAUCCCCGGGCUUAACCUGGGAAUGGCAUUUGGGACUGCAAGGCUGGAGUUUGGCAGAGGAGACUGGAAUUCCUGGUGUAGCAGUGAAAUGCGUAGAUAUCAGGAGGAAUACCGAUAGCGAAGGCAGGUCUCUGGGCUAUAACUGACGCUCAUGCACGAAAGCGUGGGGAGCAAACAGG
rnacentral:rRNA from 1 species